GGAGGGGUGGUGAACUGUGGUGGUGGAACUGGUGUGUUUGCAAAUUGGCUCCAUUGUGGUGGCGGUGGAAAAUUUGUUGUCAUGCCCUGUUGCUGCAUUAACUGUUAAACACAUAUGUGUUACUACUGAAGAUGUUGUAUUGAAAUAUAAUAAUUUAGAGUUCGGAUUAUGUGUACUCACUUGAUACAUCGCUUGAUUAUGAGCAUUGCAAGCCUCCAUAAAUUCGCGUUGUUGUCUCAUCUCUUCACGCAUCCUCAUAAUCUCCAACUCCUGCUCGUUCGGUCGACGAGAGCAUGAGCUACAGGAAGAUGAACCCGUCCUCUGAGAUCUCACCGACGACGAGUCAAUGAAUCCAUCGAAGAGUGCGUAUCUAUAAGUGAUUCAAAAAAUGUUAUUACUGCAUAAUCAAUUUAGUGUCAACCAUAUAAUUUCAUAAGUUAGAGCUUACCGUCCAUGCGCUUUGCCACCACCACUUGCGUACACCACCGAGGGAUCCACCGGUUCAUGGCGCCAGUCGAAGUCAGGGCCAUGGCGACGAACCAUCUCCUCCCCAUAUGCCGCCUAUACAUCAUUCACAACCUUACAAAUGCAGGAAUUUAUAUACUUUGAACGUUUGAACUUUUGAGCCAAAACUCACCAAGCGAUCCGUGGCUGUCUGGCUGCAGAGCUGGUCAGGGUUGUUCGGGUCUGGUCCUUUGUGGCCCUCCUGGUAGACCUCAAUGUCACUAGGCUUUUGGCCACUCGUAGCUUCCUGUAUAAACAAAAAACAUUCAUAAGCAAUCAGAUUAUUUGUUGAUCGACAUAGAAAGAUCAAACUUACCAUUCUUUUAGCUUUUCGUAUCAUGUCGUCACCGCCAAACUUGUGGUUAGGAUUGGUUCCUCGACAUUGUCUGUGAUGCGCUGACGCUUUCUGGAAGCCUUCGGAAGCCCAAUAUCGACACCAAGCAUAGUACGCAUCAGGCACGGGCGCCAUCCAUGGAACCAUCACCUGCACACACACAAUGUUACAUAUUAUAUCAAUCACAACAAUAAAUAUAAAGGGUAAAACAAAUUGAAUACUAACCUCAUGAUAUUGAUCCUCAGUCAAAUAUAUCUUUGAGGACCCUUCCUUUUUAUUCAAGGGGCCUGCUUCUUCCAGAUGCUUUUGAAAAUACAGGUUUGUAGCCUGAAUUCUCGCAUAGUAUAUGGCAUCCUUCACCAGCUUCUUUGCAUUGUUUUGCAAGACACGUUCAGCAUGCCCCAUGUAAUCCUCUCCGUCAGGCAACCGAUAUCGAAGCUACAACAUAAAGAAUACAAAUACAAUGGUAUAAGUCAUAGAUUUACAAUAUUAAGAAACAUAACAAAAAUAAUAAAUAAUUCAUACCCAAAAGUCAUUACGCACAAGUCCCUGUCUGUCGGUGUGGUUUCGUUCCUUUUUAAACUUGUACUCAUCCCAGGUACUGACGAGCACCUCAUCCUCGGUAUCACCGUUUGACACCUUCACUAUACCAGGGUAGUGAAGGCGGCAAAGAGAACCCAACGUAAGGUUAACCUGAGUGUGGUGUCCCUUGCCGUCAAAGGACAGGUCCUCCCAAUUCCUGCAUUACACAAAAACAUUAACAAUACACAUAAUAGUUAUAUUAGAUAAGUUAAUAUAUUACACUCACCGAUCUCCAUGUGGCAUGAUUAAAGUCCUAUCAGCCUCUCGCUCUAUCGCGUGACGAGGCUUUACUGAGUGGCUUUUUCUUGAGCGACGUGUGCGUGUCGCUGAAGAACCUCCCGAGCCAUCAUCCAUCGGGUUGUCAGCCGGUUCGCCCUGUUGGCCCCACUGGUCCCACGCCUGUUGCUGCUCUCUCUAGUGGUCCCACUGGUCCCAUGGCUGGUGAUGCUGUGCGGCCUGGUCCCAUGUCACGUGGUCCACCUCCUCAUUGUGCUCCACCUCCUCAUUGUGCUGCUCAGCCUCAUUGUGCUGCUCCUCCUCAAUGUGCUGCUCCUCAGUGUGCUGCUCAUCCUGGUACAUACAACUCAAGAUUUAUUUGUAAAUAUGUAAACAAAUUUAUUUGUACAAGAUAUGUUACCUCAUCUCUAUGUACCACGCUCAACAGCUCUCGACGUCUGCUGCUGCUCGAAGAACUGCCCUGAAAAAGGCCCAGGCCCUUGAACAACCCCUUCACUGACUUCUUUGAUUUUGGCGGCAUCCUACAUAAAAAAUAAGAAAUUAUUCAUUAGUGCAUCAAAAAUGACAUAAUACUUAAAAUAUAAACAAAUAAAAUAACAAAACAACUUUACUUGUUAAAUAUCAUCAAAAUCAGGAUCUAUUUGUUCUCUUCUAUGCAGAGGUCGCCAUGUAACUUUUCUCCUAACAGGUUGUCUUCUCCGUCUCUCGAGAAAAGUUAAGUCGUUAACGUCUGCAACUAGUGAAUCUAAUGCCGGUGCAGGAUCAAUAUGAAAACUAGUUGGCAACUCUUCUUCUUGAAACACCUCAUCAACCUGCUCAAGGUGACCAAUUUGAUAUUCGUCCUCACCAGGAGUGUAUAGGCGUUCGCGGGGAUUUACAUUGUACACAACCCUCCAUUUAGACAACUUUUUGCAUGGAUAUGUCGAGAAAUAAACUUGGUCUGCUUGAUGGGCAAGGAUAUACGUGUCGUGUCCUUGAAGCAAUUUCUCAGGUUGGAUCUGUGUCAUCCCAAAUUCGGUCCUAUAAUACUUCGGGUCAUACCAUUUACACUCAAAGAAAACUAGCGCUAAAGGCUUAUUUCCAGCAAAUGUAAUCUCGAUUAUAUUUUUGAUUUUCCCGUAAUAGCAGGCUUCGUGUCCUUCCAUGUCGGUUGCCCUAGUAACGACUCCACUAUUUUGAGUGGCGGCCAUAGGAUGACUUGAUUCGAAAAUGCUUGAACGAAAGCGAUAUCCAUUGACGUCGUAACGUCCAUAGCUUUUGGCAGUUACGCUUCCAAUAGAUAACUGACGUAAGUCAUCAUUCAAAUUCAUUUCCUCCCCAAACUGUCAAUCAUGCCACAAAGCAUUAGCAAAUUCUGUAAUAUUAGUUAAAUGAAAUUAGCUCUCGGAGCCACAUAAUUAAGACUUACACAGUCCCGAAGCCACAUAAUGAAAUUAGGUCGCCCAUGCAUACCAUCGCGUCGCAAUUUGUCUAUGUCUCUCGCUGUUGGCCUACCGAGACACCUCAUGUUUUGUUCAUCAAACUCGCUGUCAAAUAUUAUUGUAUGACAUGAGAUAUUUGAUAACAUAAACUAAUUCACAUAUGAAUAGUUUAAGAAAACAAGUCUUACACAAAGUAUUUCUCCACCUCAGGCAUAUUCGUGAACAUGUACAGUAAAGCAGACUUCCGUUCUUCCAUACUGAGGUGAUAUGCCUUGGGUGGACCAACGGCUUUGCCGUUUGUCUGAAAAAUCGAAAGAUCACUACACGGAGGCAUCUCUCGUUCAUCAUCAUGGUACCUUUUCUUUCGAGCAAAUACAUUAUGUUCUUCUGCAAAGUAACAACUUGUGAAGUAUGCUACCUCCUUUAGUUUAAAUUGUUCUGCAAUACAUCCUUCAACUCUUGCCUUAUUGCCCACCAUUGCUCUGGUGCCAGUUCAGGCUGCAGAUCCUCAAGCAUUUGGUCCAUCCUAUCAACAUCAUCUUCACCGUCAUCAACUUCUACUUCUGUUGCUCGUUCAACAUCUUCACCAUGGAGAUACCAGACCUUAUAGCCUGACACGAAACCAUGCGAACACAGGUGUAGUGUGACCUGCCUCUUGGUGUGGCUCGUCAUAUUUCUACAUUUAUUGCAUGGACACCUAAUAUUAUCUAUUUGUGACAAAGCAGCUGCAUAGUCUAGAAACAUCUGCGUCUUGGCAAACCAUUCACUAGUGUGACACCCACCCUUCUUGAAACCUUCAUACAUCCAAUCACGUCUAUCACCCAUUAUUGCGGUUGUGUACGUAAAGAGUGUGUGUGAGACAAUCACGUUUCUACACGUCACACGUAUAUACACCUAUAGGUAAGUAGUAAAACUUUAUAUAUACAUAAAUAAUUAAAUAUACACAUAAAUAACAUCAAAUUAAUCACACAUGUGAUAUUAAAUUAAUAACAUCAAAUUAACAUCAAAUUAAUAACAUCAAAUUAUAUAUAAAUAAUUAUAUAUACAAUUAAUAAUUACAUCAAAUAAUAACAUCAAAUUAACUAACAUCAAAUUAACAUCAAUUUAUAUAUACAUCAAAUUAACAUCAAAUUAAUAACAUCAAAUUAUAUAUACAUAAAUAAUUAUAUAUACAAUUAAUAAUUACCUAACAUGAAGCCACACAUGUGAUAUUAAAUUAACUAUAAUCACACUCUAAUCACAUGUGUUAUUAAAUUAAUACUAAUCACAUGAAAGUUAACUCCCGUCGGUCAUAAAAAACCGACGAAAAUAAACAUGUACACACAUAAUUAACAUUCACAAUCCCAUGCAUUAACAUGUACACACAUAAUUAACUCACGUGGGUGUCGUAGUCGGUUCGGAGAUGCGGUCGGGGGCGUAGGCGGCGCUUGGGCGUGACGGCGGCGCUCGAGGAGGCAGCGACGACGCUCCGAGAGGCGGCGGCGGCGCUUGUGGGCGCGAUGGGAGGCCCGGCGGCGAUGUGGGCGGUGUGGGGCACGACGGAGACGAGCGAGGGUGGGCACGGUGGCGGCGGACGGGCGGGCGCGUGGUGGGGAGGGGCGUCCGGACGCGCGUGCGGCGGGGACGGGCGGCGGGGACGGGCGGUCGGGCGAGCGGCGGCGCCGACUGGCGCGCGGCGCCGAGGACGGGCGGCGGCGGCGCUGCGCGUGGCGUGGACGGGCGGGCGCGGCCGGGAUGGCACGCCGGCGGGGAGGGGCGGCGGCGCGGUGGCGGUGAGAGGCGGCGGCGGCUAGGGCAGAGAGACAAGCGGCGGCGCGGCCAGGAAGAAAGGCAGGGAAUGAGCCCGCGCGGGUUCGCCCGCGUGCUCAUAAAAGGCUAAUCCCCGUCGGCUUGCGAUAUGGCCGACGGGAGUUAAGUAAUCCCCGUCGGCCUAUGUUCUGGCUGACGGGAGUUAAGUUAACUCCCAUCGGCCUACGCUCUGGCCGACGGGAGUUACAUUAUGUCCAUCGGUUACAGUCUAGCCGACGGGAGUUACAUUAUUCCCGUCGGCUUUUUCCCUGGCCGACGGGAAUUAUUGUGGCCGACGGGAAUCAUUAGGAUUCCUGUAGUGAUAGAGAUAUGUCAUUGAUUAUAAUGACAAGUUCAAUCUAUUUGUUAAAAUGGUUACUAUUCAUAUUGUUAUAUAUGUUGCUGUCUCUAGAGGUUGGAGCUUGCAUCAACUUGAUAUAUAGAAUGCAUUCUUGCAUGGGCAUCUAGAAGAAGAGAUCUACAUAGAACAACCUUCUCGCUAUGAAGAUGUGUCAAAACGAUUUUUAUCUUUUUAGCAGUUCACAUCACACAAUAGCUUUUUUCUCAACUCGCAGCCUACAACAAUUACUUUUCACAUCCACAACUCAACCAAAUAGACCCCUAGUAGAUCUUCACUAUCUUUUGAUAUAGAAGUAAAGAGAACUUCAAAUAAGAUUGUACUUACUCAGAAAAAGUAUGUAUCUCAUCUUUUUAAAUAAGUUUGAUAGAUUGCAAACUUGUUUGCACACCACUUUCACUAAGUGAGAAGCUAUCACUUCAUGAAGGACCUCCUCUAGGGCCAAAUGAUGACGCAAGCUAUAGAAGUGCAGUAGAACUUGCGUCAAAUGAUGACCUAACAUCGACUAGAUCUAAUAUUAAGUUUUUAGUAAAUAAGGUAUAUCAGUUUCUAUAUGCUUCUACUACUAUUUGUUGGACAUCAGUCAAGUGAAUAUUAAGAUAUAUCAAACACACCACUAGUUUAGGACUGAAAAUUAUAAAGUUAAAUUCUACUUUUAUCAGUGCUUUCUCUUAUGUCGACUGGAUACGAGAUAUAAAAUGAUAAAAGAUCUACAAGUGGUUUUGUAGUUUAUUUAGACAUCUUAUCUCAUGGUGUGUACUUUAGUAAGACACCGUAUCAAGGUCUAGUACUGAAAUGGAUUAUAAAGUCAUAGCAAAUGUGUAGUAGAAAUUAUGUGGGUGCAAAUUCUUCUUAAAAAACUUAAUACUCCUAGUCUUAAGACAUCAAGACUAUGGUGUGAUAAUAUUGGAGCAAAAUAUUUGUAGCAUAGAACAAAGCACAUAGAAGUUGGGUACCAUUUUAUUCGAGAUAAAGUUCCUACAAAAACUGUUCAAGAUUGUUUUUAUUUCUUCAAAGGAUCAGGUGAUAAAGCUUUAUCUGUAAGGUUAUUAUAGAGAAUUUUAAGCACAAUCCAUAGAAGGGAGGAGCAAAAAUCCUGAGGCAAACACCAGUUACAGCUGCAAAGGUAAGCACUAGGAUGCUGCUCUUAUUUCAGGAAAAGGGCUCCAAGGCCACUACGAUUAUUAUUCAAGGAGCAACAUCCCAUCCAGGAAACAAAGGGAGCACCACGCCUGACUGCACACACACCACCACCACCAACGUUCCCUCUCAACCGACGCAACGCAAACUACUAACAGUCCAUCAGACUACUAAAAAAGCGACACCCGGAUCAAUGAUGGAACAAGACCUUGACAAGGUAGGUAAAUUUAACUCUUGAAGCAAAGAGCAGCAACGAACGCCCGCCGCCUAGCAAAAGCAGACUCUUUUUUUCGCCUCCGGGAAGGGAAAAAAAGAAAGAAAUGGCAAGGGAAAAGACACGACACUCCGAGUGCUCCCUCUCGCUCAUCGAUCGAUCAGGUCUGUGGCCGCCGUCGCGCAUCACUUGCUGGAGGGCUCUCCCUCCACGGCCAGCGGCACGGUGCUCGCCAUGGUGCGGUACUUGAGCGCGUACAGCAUCUCCAGGUACCGCCGGGUCUCGCGCCUCUCCAGGUUGGACACGUACUUCCAGAACCCGUACACGCCGGUGAGGGUCAUCAGCCUCUCCGAGUAGAGCUUCCAGGUGUACCUGCAGUACCGAACGCGACGACCGGUAAGAAGCACAUCAAAAAAAACGGCUGGGGAAACCAUCUUCACGUCAGUGCAUACUUCUCCUCGAUACGCUGGAGCCCGCCCUGGGAGAUCUUGCUCCAGUGGCUCGGGUCCGCCUGGCACUUGUCGAAGAAGUCCACGAGCAGGGCCGACGCCUUGUCGCCCUGGUAAGGGUCGAUGUGGUAGCCAGACACGCCGUGCACGAUGAUCUCGGCCGGACC
rnacentral:lncRNA from 1 species